ensembl:lncRNA
GCAGACCUCAGUCGUCUCGUCCGUAUAAUAGUAGCAUUGUUAGGAAGAUGAACUGAGUUAGCAGAUGGAAAGUACUUAGCACAGUGCCUGGAAGUGCUAGCUAUUAUUGUUACUGGUUUCAGCUCUUGGAAGUUCCAGCCUUCUUGCCCCUUCUCGGCGUUUUGGGGGGAAAACCCUUUGCUGAGAUGAGCCAGCUUCCUAGAUUCCAGGGGGGCUGGGGUGGCUUUCAUGUAGAUAGCCCCCUCCUAGAGUCUGGGCUGGGCGCUGCUUCCUCCAGGAGGCACCAGCCCUUAGCUCUCUAUCCCCAGCUCUACCCGCUUGCCCACGGUGGCCUCUUGCGUGUCCCCUGGGCCUGCCUCUCUGAGAUGGUCUUCUCCUCAUCCCACUCUCCUGAUUCUAGUUUCUCAUUUCUCACCACAUCAUUUGGUGUGACUGCCUUGGAAAAGUUCUAGUUGGAAGAAGAGAAGAUGGUCAUUUCUGGACCGUGGGCCACCCUCUCACAUCGGACUCAGCUUUAGUCAGGCCUGGGCUGGUGGGCUCCCUGCCCUCCGUCCUCUAGGUCCAUUUCAGCUUGGCCUCCACCACCGUCGCCAGAAAGAAUUAUUUAUAAAAUGUGGACAGCCUUUGGCCAGAGCCUAUAAACAAACAGUCUACCCAAAAGUUGUUAGGUGAAGCCAACUUUUAAUUUUGUUUUCUUUGCACUUACCUUGGAGGUUCAUAUUCAGCUGGUUUUCAUGGAUCAUUUAAUGGCCGGGAAUCACAAGGGUCUCAUGCCUGGGGGAUGAGACCCCAGGCUUUCAUCCGCACUUUAAGACAUCACUAAAUAUACAGAAGGCUCAUCGGAUGCAGUGAGGGAAAGGAGUAGAUAAGCCCUGUGCUCAAUGAGCUUCCAUCCAAUGGGGGUGGCGUGGCACAUCCCCUGAUAACAUCAGGGGCUCCCAAUGUGUUGGAGGAGACACAGCCUCAGCCCUCAUGGAACCCCCAGUCUGAUGGCAUAGGGUUAAUUCACAGUCUGAUGGGUGAGAUUGUUCAUAUUCUCGGGGGAGGAGGGACAAAGUCUACUAAUUCAGCCUGAUGGAGGAGACCUGAGUCUUGCUUUCAAGACUUUGAUUGUGUGAAACACAGAGUCCUCAAGGAAAUGGAUAGGAGUGGGCAGUUCUCAACCCAAACUUUCUUUCUGGCGACAUGAUGGAAGUAGGGGAGACAGAAGCAGCUUUGGCCAGCCAGCAAAGAAGCAGAUUCAGGAGUGGCCUUUGAUUUGGCUGCAGCAGCCACUUUCACUGGCCUCUGCUGGCUGAGCCCCACCCUGAAACACUGUGUGGGGGCUGUGCUAUCUUUAGUGGUCACCCUUCGUAAUCUUUAGAGGACGUUGCUGACGUGGCUGCUUCCUGGGCUGGACCUUUCUCCCUAGAGAGUCCGGGCCUUUUGCAGGGUGAGAAUUUGUUUUGGGGCAGGGGAGGCCGUGGAGAAUGUUUGGGGACUUCUAAAAUCUGGCUGCUAUUUUUUGCCUUCUCCCAAGUCAGAGAGUGAGACUUUUAGACCCUUUGAACAAUUGUUUUAGAGUCAGAAAAUAAGAAUAUUGGAGGAAGAAAUAUCACUAGGCAUCACCUAGUCUUAUCUUCCCAUUUCACAGAGGAGAUUGUGGAGGCCAGGGGAAGGGAAGUAUGUUUCUCAAUGCUGCUUAGUAGCUCUGCUGGAUUUGUGACGUGCAUCUUGUCCCCAGCACAGUGCAGGAGACAGGAAUUCAAUCCCUGAUCUGGGAGCAUCACGCGUGCCUCAGAGCAGCUAAGCCCAUGUGCCACAACUGCUUAGCCUGCCCUACACAUACCCUAGAACCCGUGCUCCGGAACCAGGGAAUUCACCCAAAUGAGAAACCGUACCUAGAGAGUAGCCCCCACUCACCGCAACUAGAUAAAAGACUGCACAGCGAUGAAGACCCAGCACAGCCAAAAUUAAUUAAUUAAUUAAAA